AUACGUAGGGGGCAAGCGUUGUCCGGAUUUAUUGGGCGUAAAGGGCGUGUAGGCGGCUUGUCAAGUCAGGGGUGAAAGCCCGGGGCUCAACCCCGGGCCGGCCUGUGAAACUGGUAGGCUUGAGUGCUCUAGAGGGCAGUGGAAUUCCCGGUGUAGCAGUGAAAUGCGUAGAGAUCGGGAGGAACACCAGUGGCGAAGGCGGCUGCCUGGGGAGCAACUGACGCUGAGGCGCGAAAGCUGGGGGAGCAAACGGGAUUAGAUACCCCGGUAGUCCCAGCCGUAAACGAUGAGUGCUAGGUGUGAGGGGUAUCGACCCCCCUCGUGCCGGAGUUAACGCAAUAAGCACUCCGCCUGGGGAGUACGGCCGCAAGGUUGAA
rnacentral:rRNA from 1 species